rnacentral:tmRNA from 3 species
GGGGGCGAUCGGUUUCGACUGGCUGCUUUACUUCCCGAGGUUGCAUGUCGAGGUUGUCAGGAGGCCUCGUAAAACCCCUGACAAAGGCUUUAACUGCCAAUAAUAACUACGCUUACGCUGCCUAAUAACGGUGGCUCGCUGCUGAGGCCCUCGCCCGAGGGGUUUCUUCAGCGCUGAAAUUCGGGCUGGCGCGCCGCUGCGCCUGGGUGCGGCGCGUAAGACUUCACAGGCUGGCGAUGGAGUCUGCUUGUCUUCUGGUGAGCUUCAUCGUGAGAACAAUCGGAAGACUAUGCAUGUAGACGCCCGGCUAGAAACUGUUCAGGACGCGGGUUCGAUUCCCGCCGCCUCCACCA